UGUUGGCUUAGAAGCAGCCACCAUUUAAAGAGUGCGUAAUAGCUCACUAGUCGAGUGACUCUGCGCCGAAAAUGUACCGGGGCUAAAUACACCACCGAAGCUGCGAAUUGAUACCAAUGGUAUCAGUGGUAGGGGAGCGUUCUAAGUGCAGUGAAGUCAGACCGGAAGGACUGGUGGAGCGCUUAGAAGUGAGAAUGCCGGUAUGAGUAGCGAAAGACGGGUGAGAAUCCCGUCCACCGAAUGCCUAAGGUUUCCUGAGGAAGGCUCGUCCGCUCAGGGUUAGUCAGGACCUAAGCCGAGGCCGACAGGCGUAGGCGAUGGACAACAGGUUGAUAUUCCUGUACCACCUCUUUAUCGUUUGAGCAAUGGAGGGACGCAGAAGGAUAGAAGAAGCGUGCGAUUGGUUGUGCACGUCCAAGCAGUUAGGCUGAUAAGUAGGCAAAUCCGCUUAUCGUGAAGGCUGAGCUGUGAUGGGGAAGCUCCUUAUGGAGCGAAGUCUUUGAUUCCCCGCUGCCAAGAAAAGCUUCUAGCGAGAUAAAAGGUGCCUGUACCGCAAACCGACACAGGUAGGCGAGGAGAGAAUCCUAAGGUGUGCGAGAGAACUCUGGUUAAGGAACUCGGCAAAAUGACCCCGUAACUUCGGGAGAAGGGGUGCUUUCUUAACGGAAAGCCGCAGUGAAUAGGCCCAAGCGACUGUUUAGCAAAAACACAGCUCUCUGCGAAGCCGUAAGGCGAAGUAUAGGGGGUGACACCUGCCCGGUGCUGGAAGGU
rnacentral:rRNA from 1 species